rnacentral:rRNA from 1 species
UACGAGGGGUGCAAGCGUUAAUCGGAAUUACUGGGCGUAAAGCGUGCGCAGGCGGUGAUGUAAGACAGAUGUGAAAUCCCCGGGCUCAACCUGGGAACUGCGUCCGAUACUGGAUGGCUUGAAUCCGGGAGAGGGAUGCAGAAUUCCAGGUGUAGCGGUGAAAUGCGUAGAUAUCUGGAGGAAUACCGGUGGCGAAGGCGGCAUCCUGGACCGGCAUUGACGCUGAGGAGCGAAAGCCAGGGGAGCAAAGCGGG